rnacentral:rRNA from 1 species
UUUAAGCUUCCUACGGGAGGCUGCAGUGGGGAAUCUUGCGCAAUGGGCGAAAGCCUGACGCAGCCAUGCCGCGUGAAUGAUGAAGGUCUUAGGAUUGUAAAAUUCUUUCACCGGGGACGAUAAUGACGGUACCCGGAGAAGAAGCCCCGGCUAACUUCGUGCCAGCAGCCGCGGUAAUACGAAGGGGGCUAGCGUUGCUCGGAAUUACUGGGCGUAAAGGGAGCGUAGGCGGACAUUUAAGUCAGGGGUGAAAUCCCGGGGCUCAACCUCGGAAUUGCCUUUGAUACUGGGUGUCUUGAGUAUGAGAGAGGUGUGUGGAACUCCGAGUGUAGAGGUGAAAUUCGUAGAUAUUCGGAAGAACACCAGUGGCGAAGGCGACACACUGGCUCAUUACUGACGCUGAGGCUCAGUGCAAGGGGAGCAAACAGGAUUAGAUACCCUUGUAGUCGAAUUCUU